UUUGGACCCACCUGAUUCCAUCCCGAACUCAGAAGUGAAACGAAACAGCGUCGAUGGUAGUGUGGGGUCUCCCCAUGUGAGAGUAGAACAUCGCCAGGC
rnacentral:rRNA from 1 species